rnacentral:tRNA from 1 species
GGGGCCCUAGUAAAUUAAUUACAUAGUUCUGUCAGCACUAAAUUAUGGGCUCAAUUAAACCCAUGGUCCCCA